rnacentral:rRNA from 1 species
UACGGAGGAGGCAAGCGUUAUCCGGAAUUAUUGGGCGUAAAGCGUCCGUAGAUGGUCGUUUCAAGUCUGCUGUCAAAGACCGGGGCUUAACCCCAGAAAGGCGGUGGAAACUGAACAGCUAGAGAGAGGUAGGGGUAGAGGGAAUUCCCAGUGUAGCGGUGAAAUGCGUAGAUAUUGGGAAGAACAUCAGUGGCGAAAGCGCUCUACUGGACCUUAUCUGACAUUGAGGGACGAAAGCUAGGGGAGCGAAUGGG